AGAGUUUGAUCAUGGCUCAGAUUGAACGCUGGCGGCAGGCCUAACACAUGCAAGUCGAGCGGUAGCACAGAGAGCUUGCUCUCGGGUGACGAGCGGCGGACGGGUGAGUAAUGUCUGGGAAACUGCCUGAUGGAGGGGGAUAACUACUGGAAACGGUAGCUAAUACCGCAUAACGUCGCAAGACCAAAGUGGGGGACCUUCGGGCCUCAUGCCAUCAGAUGUGCCCAGAUGGGAUUAGCUAGUAGGUGGGGUAACGGCUCACCUAGGCGACGAUCCCUAGCUGGUCUGAGAGGAUGACCAGCCACACUGGAACUGAGACACGGUCCAGACUCCUACGGGAGGCAGCAGUGGGGAAUAUUGCACAAUGGGCGCAAGCCUGAUGCAGCCAUGCCGCGUGUGUGAAGAAGGCCUUCGGGUUGUAAAGCACUUUCAGCGGGGAGGAAGGCGUGAGGUUAAUAACCUCAUCGAUUGACGUUACCCGCAGAAGAAGCACCGGCUAACUCCGUGCCAGCAGCCGCGGUAAUACGGAGGGUGCAAGCGUUAAUCGGAAUUACUGGGCGUAAAGCGCACGCAGGCGGUCUGUCAAGUCGGAUGUGAAAUCCCCGGGCUCAACCUGGGAACUGCAUUCGAAACUGGCAGGCUAGAGUCUUGUAGAGGGGGGUAGAAUUCCAGGUGUAGCGGUGAAAUGCGUAGAGAUCUGGAGGAAUACCGGUGGCGAAGGCGGCCCCCUGGACAAAGACUGACGCUCAGGUGCGAAAGCGUGGGGAGCAAACAGGAUUAGAUACCCUGGUAGUCCACGCCGUAAACGAUGUCGAUUUGGAGGUUGUGCCCUUGAGGCGUGGCUUCCGGAGCUAACGCGUUAAAUCGACCGCCUGGGGAGUACGGCCGCAAGGUUAAAACUCAAAUGAAUUGACGGGGGCCCGCACAAGCGGUGGAGCAUGUGGUUUAAUUCGAUGCAACGCGAAGAACCUUACCUGGUCUUGACAUCCACAGAACUUUCCAGAGAUGGAUUGGUGCCUUCGGGAACUGUGAGACAGGUGCUGCAUGGCUGUCGUCAGCUCGUGUUGUGAAAUGUUGGGUUAAGUCCCGCAACGAGCGCAACCCUUAUCCUUUGUUGCCAGCGGUCCGGCCGGGAACUCAAAGGAGACUGCCAGUGAUAAACUGGAGGAAGGUGGGGAUGACGUCAAGUCAUCAUGGCCCUUACGACCAGGGCUACACACGUGCUACAAUGGCAUAUACAAAGAGAAGCGACCUCGCGAGAGCAAGCGGACCUCAUAAAGUAUGUCGUAGUCCGGAUUGGAGUCUGCAACUCGACUCCAUGAAGUCGGAAUCGCUAGUAAUCGUAGAUCAGAAUGCUACGGUGAAUACGUUCCCGGGCCUUGUACACACCGCCCGUCACACCAUGGGAGUGGGUUGCAAAAGAAGUAGGUAGCUUAACCUUCGGGAGGGCGCUUACCACUUUGUGAUUCAUGACUGGGGUGAAGUCGUAACAAGGUAACCGUAGGGGAACCUGCGGUUGGAUCACCUCCUU
rnacentral:rRNA from 1 species